rnacentral:rRNA from 1 species
UGGGGGAUAUUGCGCAAUGGGCGAAAGCCUGACGCAGCGACGCCGCGUGGGUGAUGACGGCCUUCGGGUCGUAAAGCCCUGUCGAGGGGAACGAAACGGUCUCGGCCGAACACGCCGGGGCCCUGACGGUACCCCUAAAGGAAGCACCGGCUAACUCCGUGCCAGCAGCCGCGGUAAUACGGAGGGUGCGAGCGUUGUUCGGAAUCACUGGGCGUAAAGGGCGUGUAGGCGGUCCGCUAAGUCUGAUGUGAAAGCCCGGGGCUCACCCCCGGAAGGGCAUUGGAAACUGGCGGACUCGAGUCCCGGAGAGGAGGGUGGAAUUCCUGGUGUAGCGGUGAAAUGCGUAGAUAUCAGGAGGAACACCGGUGGCGAAGGCGGCCCUCUGGACGGUGACUGACGCUGAGACGCGAAAGCGUGGGGAGCAA